rnacentral:lncRNA from 1 species
UAUCCAGAUCUCAUAGUUUGCUUUAUUUUCUUAACCACCUCAGCCACUUUCUCCAAAUCUCUUUCACCUUAUCUCUUUUUCUAUCACACAGAUAAGUGCUACUCAACAUUUCACUCCAUCGAACAUAGACUGCCAUCAUAGGAGACGAUUUCAUCUGCAAGGUCAGGGUGGGACACGCAGCGGUUAAAUGUAACUGGUGAGGCAUGAUUGUUCCUCUGCACAGUCAGAUGUUCAGGCUAGGAAGCAGAGAGCCGUGGAUGGCAUACCUAGGGUAGAACCUGGUGGAAGAACUUCUGCGCUCUUCAGACCCACUUUUCCUUAUCUUCACAGUUUGCACAUGAUUGAUUAUGAUUCGGACAUUUGCUUCCCCUCCUGCAUUAUGUGCUAGACGUGGCCAGGAAAUGAUGUCACUGCCCAAAGAGUUCAAGGCCCGUGCAGCCCAGCCUCAACCGGGAACCCUCGUGAAAUAGGAGAGAGAACAAUGGGCCAUGACUCAGGUUGGAAAGUGCCAGCAGCUCCAGCUGAAGAAAUUGAGCCCAAGAGACCACGCUGUGCUGCAAGAUGCAACGAAGCUUCAGUGAGACGCAUAAAUCUGUUAGCGACAGCCGGCGCCACUGCGACCUACAGCCGUCAUCUGUCACCACACAAACAGGCACUCUUUCUUCUUUUAGAAGCUCAGGCACCAGGUUUAAAUCAUGAGCUGGCUGAUCGAAGACUAUUUAGCCGUAUGCAAACAAGAUUCAAAGGAGUUACUAAGACUAAUAAGGAAAAACCAUCGCCGGGAGACGCUUCUAAACUAUUGUAUCUGAGGCAGAACCUCCGCCUCUUUUCUGUACCAAGAAAUUCAGGAGAGCAAGAGCAGUGCGUGGGGCUCGGCUGCAGGAGAACUGGACUGAACAUGAGAGUGUGUGGAUUGGAACAACAAAAAAGGCAGUAAUUCAUGUUGGAAGUUUUCCUCUACACCCUCUCAGCAGUAAUCUACUCAUCUACAACAAACACCCCGCUGUCUUACCUAAGUGUUUGCUCUGGAACACACGGAGUGGACUGUAAAGUGUAAAAAGUGUAGAUUAGCGAUCUCACCUGUGCUGUCCAUUUUGGUGGCUCUCGCAACACGUGGC